UACGAAGGGGGCUAGCGUUGUUCGGCAUCACUGGGCGUAAAGCGCACGCAGGCGGAUCGAUAAGUCGGGGGUGAAAGCCCGGGGCUCAACCUCGGAAUUGCCUUCGAUACUGCCGGUCUCGAGUCCGGGAGAGGUGAGUGGAAUUCCUAGUGUAGAGGUGAAAUUCGUAGAUAUUAGGAAGAACACCAGUGGCGAAGGCGGCUCACUGGCCCGGUACUGACGCUCAGGUGCGAGGUCGUGGGGAGCAAACAGG
rnacentral:rRNA from 1 species